UAGGGAAUCUUGGGCAAUGGGCGCAAGCCUGACCCAGCCAUGCCGCGUGUGCGAAGAAGGCCCUAGGGUUGUAAAGCACUUUCAGUCGCGAAGAAAAGCUUAAAGUUAAUACCUUUGAGUCUUGACGUUAACGACAGAAGAAGCACCGGCUAACUCCGUGCCAGCAGCCGCGGUAAUACGGAGGGUGCGAACGUUAAUCGGAAUUACUGGGCGUAAAGCGCGCGUAGGCGGUUUGUUAAGUGGGAUGUGAAAGCCCCGGGCUCAACCUGGGAACUGCAUUCCAAACUGGCAGACUAGAGUAUGGUAGAGGGUGGUAGAAUUUCCUGUGUAGCGGUGAAAUGCGUAGAUAUAGGAAGGAAUACCGAUGGCGAAGGCAGCCACCUGGACCAAUACUGACGCUGAGGUGCGAAGGCGUGGGGAGCAAACAGG
rnacentral:rRNA from 1 species